AAUGAAUUGCCUGACAAAAGGACUAUCUUGAUAGGAUAAAUUAUAUAAUUAAAAUUAUAUUCAUUA
rnacentral:tRNA from 1 species